AUUCACAGGAUCUUUUUCUCAGUCCUUUGCCCCCUGGUGCAGCGCUGAGGCGCAUUGCUGCUGCAAGCACUCAGCCAGCCCGCAGCCUCUCGACAUUCAGUGCAGCAUCAGGUCUGUUGCUUUCCUCUGGUUUGCGAUGCAUUUGUACAGAAAAUGAGAUGACCGACGGUGGAUGCAGGACUCUGAAGUUCUCGGUACUGAACUAAUUUGGUUUUUGUGCCAAUAGCUUUCACCAAAUCAUGUAAUGUUCUCAGAAUAUGGAAAUCUUGAGGAUAUCAAGGCCUUAGCUUACCAAAAUGCUCUCUGGAUCAAAGUCUACUACAGAUUUACCAGAAAACAGCAAGAUACAUUUUCUCACGUGACUGAAAUUGUGUAGGAAUUAAUCUGUGAAGCACCCAUUACCAAAAGGAGUGAAGGGGAGCGUUCAGAGGCCGGUUGUGUGCGGGGUCCUUCCCCUGAAGCAGGAGGCGUGAGUUGACAGAGCAGUGACUCAGGCCAGAAUGCGGCGCUUCAGACAUAAUACUUGCAGCUGAGAGGGCCAUUCUGUUCCCUGUUUAUUCGCUGAUUUCUCUCAGGAGAGACCUGGCAGAACAGCACAGAGUAAGACCAGCAUUUACCUUGAGCUGGCGGAGGAGCUGGUAGCGCAGCGUCUGCUCUCCUAGUUUCUGAGCUUCAAAGCUGCCACCACAGUGCCCCUGUCUCCUUGUGGGACAUGGGAAUUUCACUAGGACUGAACAAUCGAGCGCUUGUAUUACAGUUAUUCCUGGAAGGAAAAUUUUCUUACUCAGGUAGACAACUUUGAUUGAAGUUUUUGCAUUUAUGUUUAUUGGUUGCAAUAAGGAGAGUUUUUUUCCCUUUUUUUAAAAAAAAAGCAGCUUAGGUUUACACGUUGGCAUAGAACUAACUUGUUUAAAAUCCUUGAAACUGUCCCCUGCCACUAUUCAGCAAUAGCAGGAGACUUUAUUUUCUAUGUGAAUGAAGCCAAGAAUGAAAUAAAACAUGAAUCUUCAUUAGAA